CUGAUUGAAGUUUCCUAUCUUGUAUGCAAUGAGCUUACGGAAUUGGGGAACGAUUUCCUGAAAAGAAAAUUGCCAGAUUCAAAUUUUAGUUUGAAAAGCAUUACAAAAAACAGUAACAUAACUGAAAGAAUGUAGUCUAUGUGUGCAAAAAAGGAAGACUUGCAAAAGAAUUAACAAAACAAUAAAAAUAAGUACAAAAGCAUGAUGACAUUUGAGACCAAAAAAAAAUUAACAGAACGUGGAAGAACUAUAUCAUGAAAUAAUUCUCUCUGGAACAGUGAUAGUAUUGCACACAAAAAGAAUAUGGAUAAUUUAAAAACAAAAAGGUAGCUGGUUAUAGAGAAAGAUGUAGUGCGUGUAGUAUUUACUUAUUCAAAGUCCUUCAUGUCUUUUCCGUUCCAACAAUCCAUAUAUAGUGUGCCAUAGAUAGCGCAGUCAUGCCUGUCCAUGUUUGCACAAAAAAACAGAUGAAUAAACAGAAAAUGUAAAUUAGAAAAGAUGUAGAAAAGGGUCAAAAAAAUAAUCUCACAAGUUAGGUUGUUUGGGAUAGUUUUCAGGAGAAAACUUCACGAAUUCUUCUAUAUUUUUGAAACUGCACUUGGAUGCCUUGAAUAGAGUGCUGAGGUUGGUAAUCUAUAAUAUAAAACAUGAAGAUAAGUACAAAGUUAGGUAGACCGAA
rnacentral:lncRNA from 1 species